GGCAUGGAGCAGUGGAGUGACUGUGCAGAAUCCUCCUGGGAUUCAUGGAGAAGCAGGCAGCAGGAGCUCUAGAGACUUGGAUUCUCACAUUGCCCUUGCUACUUGGUACCUACGUCAUUUGAAAAUCUCUGAGCCAAUUCAUUUGUUUCCACCUGUGGAACAUCUGUUUAGCCUUGGGCAGUUGUUUUCCAGAAUUACCUCAGAGGAAAGCACAACAGUCAGACGUGAAAUGGAAACAGAAAAAUCUUCUGAAGCAGAACAGUAAUGCUGUGAAUUUAAAAGUAAUGGGUCCCAGCAGAAGAAAAAAGCAUCCCUCCUACCUCAUUUCUCCUUUCGGAGGCUAGCAGGAAAUUAAAAAAGGAAAGGAGUUUCAUGCAGUAUUUCUGACAGCAAAUUUCUCAGAAUCCAGAGAUACUUCUUUUCUCUGUAAUAAAUUGCUGCAGAUACAAAGGAACACUUAUGAUUGAUGACUAUCUCUGUUUGCAUGAGCA
ensembl:lincRNA